CCUUACUUCGGUUUUAUUAUUUCCUCUAACAUCUUUUCUCAUUCCCCUUUGCUCUGCCUAUCAUGAAACUAUUGACUUAAAGAUUAAAACAACCAGAACUGGAGAGGGUUGCUUUGAGGUAAACAGAAGGUGCCAUUUUUGUUUGUAAAUACUCCCUUAUUUUCACUCUAAAUAAAUUAUUGUUACCUUUACAGAUUCUGGGACCCUUGAAUGAAAUUUUUUCUUUUCUUCCGUCUGGAGAAAAAUUGAUGGUCUUUUAUUACGUAGUCGUGGCUUUACAUCAGAAUCUUACUUGAAUACUUUCAGGGUUUUCUUUCUUUCUUUCUUUCUUUCUUUCUUUCUUUUCUUUUUCUUUCUAUUUUUUCUUUUGGCCUAUAGCUCCUUAUGUGUGCUUUGGGGGAGGGGGGUGUAUACCAAUUCGAGUAAAUGGAAAACCUUUUAAAGACAAAUGAAGUCUGAUUAUGAUCACUGUUAUGAUCACAGGCAUCAAUGUUGAUUUAAUCAGCUAAGAUACUAUUAUUCCAGCCAUGAAGGAGAUGUCUCGUGAUGAAUACUUUCUUCUAUAACACCAUAUUCACAGUGCUUCUCAUGUUAUAGUGGACGGCUCUGAAGGAAGCAGAUGUGAGAUUACCUUUAAAUUCCGUACAGGGUCAUUUACUGAUUUCCGGGAGACCCCAUGUGAUCUCAUCUCAGAAAAGAGAAGAAUGUAUGAGCUAUUUCUUGUCCAUCUCCACUUCCCUAGUUGGUGGAUACAAGAACUUGACAGGUGUCAUUAGAGUUAAGUGUCAUCUUAUUUCACAUGGCUCAGCUAUCAUUGCUGAAGAAGAGAGCACCAGCAAGCUUUCUGUGAGACUGAGUCUCCUAGAAAUGUCACGAAGGUUACACCUGUAAAGUGUCACCAACGUGGCUGCCUAAGGAAGGUCUGAACAAUGACAACACCAAUGACCAAAUGAACAUGGAUCUGGGGAGGAUAACAGGACUCACUCUAGAGGAUGAACCAUGGAAAAUAGGGAAAUUAUGAGAGCUAGAGAAGUGGUUUUUCCUGGGGAAGAGCUCCCCAAUUGUUAUCUGCUACAAAGUGGUCAGCUCUGGCAUAAUAUGUAUACAGGUAACAUUAUAUAGACUGAACAUUAUAUAGAGUGUUUCAAAUAUCACAUUGAAUGCUGUGUUUUUUAUGUAUACAUGAAUACUAUCUAUCAUGUCUGUCUGUCU
rnacentral:sRNA from 1 species